rnacentral:lncRNA from 1 species
AGGGGCAAAACCCCAUUUCCUUCACUUUUCAACGAAGAUAAACAAACUUAAACUAAAAAAAAUGUAACAGUGAGUAGAGGAUUUUCGGGUGAAAGCUCCAGCAGGUAGAGGGAUUCCAACAAGAGAUCAAGUGGUCCAGCAAGCCUUACAAGGAAGGUUUCGCCAAGAUUGUAUAAAGGGAUAGUCGGAAAAGAAAGAGUUGCAGGAGUUUCACUAUUAGCACAAGAGGCUUUCCGGGAAGUAGGA